rnacentral:rRNA from 1 species
GACGAACGCUGGCGGCGUGCCUAAUACAUGCAAGUCGAACGAGUGGCUGACGGGUUAGGAAUACAUCGGAAUCUACUCUUUCUUUGGGGAUAACGUAGGGAAACUUACGCUAAUACCGCACACGAUCGAAUGUGCCUAUGUCGGAUUAGUUAGUUGGCGGGGUACAGGCCCACCAAGGCGACGAUCCGUAGCUGGUCUGAGAGGAUGAUCAGCCACACGGGAACUGAGACACGGUCCAGACUCCUACGGGAGGAAGCAGUGGGGAAGAUUGGACAAUGGGCGCAAGCCUGAUCCAGCCAUACCGCGUGGGUGAAGAAGGCCUUCGGGUUGUAAAGCACUUUAAGUUGGGAGGCGUUACCAACAGAAUAAGCACCGGCUAACUUCGUGCCAGCAGCCGCGGUAAUUC